rnacentral:rRNA from 1 species
UACGAAGGGGGCGAGCGUUGUUCGGAUUUACUGGGCGUAAAGGGCGCGCAGGCGGCUCAUUUUGUCAGGCGUGAAAGCCCCGGGCUUAACCUGGGAACUGCGUUUGAUACGGAUGGGCUAGAGUUCGGGAGAGGAGAGUGGAAUUCCCAGUGUAGAGGUGAAAUUCGUAGAUAUCAAGCGGAACACCGGUGGCGAAGGCGGCCUUCUGGACGAUGACUGACGCUGAAGCGCGAAAGCGUGGGGAGCAAACAGG